UGCCCACACAGCAAACAAGAGGAGGCCAAUCUUCGCCUGUGUGCUGGAGAACAGGGCUUCUGUCUCGUCAACGAUGGGGGCACUGUGAAGCUGGACAGGAGACAUGCCUACUACCAUCAAGUACAGGCUCAGCUCCACGUCGUUGAUGUUGACUACUGCGACUUUGUUGUCUGGACUAAAAAUGACCUCUUUGUAGAGAGAAUUGUGCGUGAUGUGGACCUGUGGGACAACAUCAUUCCCAGAGUUGAGUUUCUUCAGACUAUGUGUUCUCCCUGAAGUGUUGGGACAGCAACUUACAAGGGGAAAGUUUCAGUUGCAAGAUGAUCAGGAGGAAGAGAAGGCGUGAUUACCAGCACCUGUGGUCUGUCCUGGUCCCGGAAGUUGUGGUUCUCUCCUUGUUGCAUUAUUAUUUGCACAGUGGCAGCUCUUUAACCUGCAUUACAGCACCUUCAUAUUCACUGACCACACUCACUAGAGGAAGUAGGGCUGUGUGAUAUAUUGCUAUUGUAAAAAAGAUGUUUACUGAAAAGAUUAAAUGAUACUAAGAAGACUGAA